CUCACCCCACGUUUCUACUGAUACGCUGCAGUUAACAAAAACGACAUCUAACCGUCUACCCCUCCCACUCAAAUCCAACAAUGUCGGCAAUUUUCACCAGAGUAAGUUUGCAAUUUGCAAUUCACAAACAUAUAACCCUAAUAGUUUUUUUUUGAAGGUUUGUGUCUCUACUUUGAAGUAGUCGGCGACUUCUCUCUGUAUUUCGCUAGUGAUUCUUGCAUUGUCGCUGAUUAGCUUUUGUAUGUACACCGAUAGACGCGGAAUUUGCAUUCGUGUGCCACAGUGGAAGCAAUGAUGUUCUCUUAAGCUUCAGCCUUCAUGUGGAAUUCUUUUUUAUUUUUUCUGUUUAGGUUAUAUGCGAGAUUCUAAAUGUGACUGUAUAUGGGUUUGUUCAGGCUGUGGUGAUGAAAAAGUUUUCCUAUGAGUUUGAAUUUGACUAUGAUGAUGGGGAUAUUGAUUGUUAUAAACCUUCUAGAAGGGGAGGUUGAGGAUGGUUCCAAGAGGUUAGAGCAGUUGUAGUGUUAUAACUCCACUACCGCCAUAAAAGUAGAAGAGAAAUAGCAAGAACGAGAGCCAACUCUUCAAGACUUAGCGACUUUAAGGUACAAUUUAAUUACAUAUACAGUCAAUUAGGCAUAAAUCUUGCUAUUGUCCUUGUAUGCCUGUUAUUUUUGCCGUCGCAUCAUCUUUGUCAUUGUUUAGCGACAUAAGUUACAAAUUAAUACAGCUAUUGUUUAUGUUGUCAAGUUUUUUAUGGUGAUUAACUACCAAAAUUGGGUCUUUUGUUUAUGACUUAUUUUUUUUCGAAAGCAUGUCAAUCGAAAUUGCAAAAAAACAAUCAUUCUGGCUCAGUUACAACCAUUGUUAUGCGCAAUUUGGGCAAUUGCUUUGGCAAAGAGGAGAUAAUGGAAAACUCUCCAACAGAAGAUGAGUCAUCCACUACCCUGAUGAGUGUGGAGGAAAAAUUUAGGAUUGUGAAGAGUGUUGGUGAAGAGUGUAAGUAGGAAGAUGAACUCUUGAAUCUUGUAAUCAAGAAGCCCCAACCCACUUGCUAUGAAGCCUUCAAACAUUCUUGCAGAAUGCAUAUAGCACGUGUAGUGAUGGAUCUUCCUCCUUAUAAAAUUAACCCUAAGAGAAUGAAAGGUUUGCAUCAAUCUGUUGAAAUGGGAGAGUAGUUUAGGCGAUUAUUAGCAAAACCUCAACAAGAAUUUCCAGAAAGUGUGAUGGAAAUUAGAGAAAAGGAUAAUUUAAUGUGGUGGAACUAACUCGCAAGUCUUUAUUCCCUGCAACUGCGUAUGAUCUUUGUAUCAAGCUGAAGGAAAAAGAAAUUCUUGCAAAACUGACUCAUAAUGCUAAUAUUGGGUUGAACUCCUCUUUCCAUCAGGUCCUGCUCAAGCUCAAAAUUUAAGGGAUUCACUUGCAAAAGCAAAAUCUGAUAUUGUAGUGAAGGUGUUCUUUUUAUCCUGCAUUUUUUGUGCUAUAGUAAUAGUACUACUUAAAGAACAAAUCAAUAGGUUGACACCAACUGGAUGUAUGUGGUAAUGACCUUUACAGUGUAAAUGCUAAUUAUUGAGUGGUCUUUACACCACUAUUAAUACAAGAGAUUACUAUGACUAGCAA